CUCGCUCCCUCGCUCUGGAUGCUCUCAGUCUAAGUCGGAGUGUGGGACGGGACAGAGAGGACCGAGCUGAUCUCCUUGCUUCCAACCAGCACAUUUCCCGUCUGGGAGCGGGGCUCCCAUGGACUCCCCCUAUAACGGCAACACGUCCCUCCAGACGUCCACCUCCAACCUCAACGCGGGCUACUCUCGCCCGUCAGAGGCCGAGGACGACGGGAAAGUGUCCAGCGACACCAUCUGGCUGUGGAUCGCCGUGCUGGCGACCAUCGGCAACAUUGUGGUGGUGGCGGUGGUCUGUGCCUGCGCCUUCUGACAGGACGGAGGGGGGCGCUGUUGGAGUUCCUGCAGGAGCGACGUGAAGUAGCCUUAUUCUUAGAUGGAUGAAUGAGUUUGAAGAAGGAAACUAGCACCAGAUUCUUAUUUCCCACUUUUUUUUACCAACAAUAAUAAUUUUCAUAAUAACAAUAUAAUAACAGUAACAAUAAACACACAGCUAAUUACAAAAUUAAAUAUUUAAUUUAGGUUAAAAAUAUGAGGUGGAGGAAUCAAUCAACACAAUUCAACAGCCUAACUUGAACCUCACACUGACCAAACAGAACCACAGUCAGGGAUGCGAUGCAUGUAUGUGAGUGAAUCUAUCCACAAAUAAUUCACUCACUCACUUUGUGAGGGAAUUCAACCAGCAACCUUUCAAUCAAAUGCCCCAAUCUGAGAACUACAGUAAUUUAAAACACAACCGUGACUGAAAAUAUGUUUCGAUUCUCCGCUCAUUGUUAAAAAGGGUCACAGCCUCUAAGUGGGCACGUCUCACAAAAUCACCACUCCCAGUAAAUUGAUUCAUUGUGGAUUUCAGGAUGUGGCCUUAAAUUUACAGCGCGGCGCUGCUCAGUGGUCAGUUACGCAAGGCGAGGUGGUAUUAUAUAAACCCAUUCAAUCCCGGUUCCACCAGGCUCAGCAGAGAUCAGCGUCAGAACUCCAAGGAUUAGACUGGAUCGUAGUCGGAUCUAUUCGUGGGAUCAGACGCCAGGAGGAGCUGAUUUAGUGGCUAGACAGUCAGUUUGUGAACGGCCAGCGUGCUGAUGAUGAAAGCACUCAGCUCCAUCUCAUUCCUCGCCGUCCUGUCACUUUGACCCCUGCGUAUCCUCCUGCCAGGUAAAAAUGAAACAAACGGCCCAGAUUCUUUAAUGCAGCAGUUCAGCGAAGUCUCGCGACCCUCUCACGAAGCGGAUUCCAGUGCCCACGAACACCAGCGCUACGAGGUAAAAGCUCAGCUUCGCCCAAAGUGCGUGUCUUGGAGUUGGAGUCUGUAAAAAAGCCCAGAGGAAGCCACGUCCCUCCAGGGCUCGGCAGUGAUUUGCAGAAAUUUAACAAGGGAAGCAGGUCAGAGGAGGCGUUCCUCCCUGUCAGGGUCACUUUCCCCAUUAUACAGAGAAACACAUCAUUAAAAGUGGAGUCAUUUGCCUUCAUCUUCCUUUUAAAUCAGGGAGAGUUGGUGAGUGGAGGAAACUUCCAAAUGCUCACAGAGGUGAAUGAAGAAGACAGUUUGGGUGAAAGAAGCAGAGGAGGAUGAAACGGGAGCCGCUGAAUGAGACGGUUUCAGGAGGUCACGGUGAGGAGCGUGCCUCUCACUCGCACGCUCGCUCGCCCCGCUCCCUCUCUUUCUCUCCUCCUUCGCUCAGUGGCCCAGUCAGCUCUGGCUGCCAGGGAGCAGGACAGAUGGGACCGGGAACGGAACGAGCAGAGACGAUGUGGUCCGGUUCAUGUGAGAUCAAACCAAGUACCAAGUAUUUCUAUCUUACACCAAGACUUUCCAUGGAUGAACAUUUUUGUGGCCCUUGUUUGGUCAGUUGAGGCUCCAGCCGGCUGUGUCAGCCAAUUACAGCAUAUAAUAGGUUAAAUGGCUAGCUUAGCAUUAGCGUCUGCCCGUGUCACGCACCCACGCCACCGCCACUCUCCAGCUCCAUCCGCCCACAGCACCACAGUGGGCUCAGCUGCUCAGCCACACGGUUCUUAUCUCUGAUCAUCAUACGAAAGAAAUGCUGGAGACACACGCUCAGGGGACGAGCUCAUGUGAUGAUCUGUUCCUGGGUUGUAGGAGUAACCUGAAAUCAGUCCUGGAGAAGCUGUUUGAUGGCAACCUACACAAAAGCAGUUCAAUAUUUCAAUCAAUAAUGGGUCACUGUACAAACUGCAGUGUGGCGACAUGCGGGGCUCAACUGGAAGCGGAGUAAAGAACAGAUGUGGUGGCCCAUCCGACCAUAACACAGUGUUUCUGGGUACGAGCUGUAGAUAUUUGGACAAGCAUCCACUUAGAAUCAAAAAAAUUAUUUUGCCGCAUUCCUCAGAAUACUUUUGUUCGUCCACGUUAUAAUGUAUUUAUACUGAUGAUAAGAAACCAACUAUAGACAUCACUGUGAAGGUUAUAUGCAAAAUGUUGAAAUAUGAUGACACAUUAAACUAAUGACACAUUGUUAAAUGUGUCAUUAGUUUUGAUGGAUCAAACAGAUUCACACAUUAAGACAAAGAGAGAAUGCUAAAUGUAAAGUUUCCAUUAAAGUAAUACACAUCACAUUUCCUUUAAGUUUCCUCUCUGAUGGAGUAAAUGGUCUGAAGUCAUCCACACUCAAAUAAAUCUAUAUGCUUCGAUUUGCACAUGUGUUUGUAUGAAGCUUUAGACUUGUCUGUUGUUUUCUCAGUUUAAGUGUAAAACUGUGACAUUAGCUUGUGUGUUAUCUGUCUGUCACACGUAAUAGACCUUUACCCUUAAAAGGGCCAUAUGUUAAAAUGAAUCUUUCCAAGGUCCUUAUUGUAUGUGUAGAUUUAGUUGUAAUAUAACUUGACUAAUGAAUGAGAAUGUGAGUGACUGGAUGUCACCUUCAUAUUACACUGUUGUGUUACAGUUUCAGUGACUACUCCUGUAGUUCAUAGUGUAUGAAUGCACUGAUAAAGGCUUAACUUAAGCUUUAUUGACCCAACAAGAAAAACCAACACACACUGAAGACAGAAUGCAAAUACAUUUAUUGUGUAUAUAUUUAUUACUGUAAGUGUUUCACAUGUCACUGUUGUAUAAAAAGUUUAGUUUGUGAAAAUUCCUACAUGUACUUCAUUUCAGCAUUGUUACUGUUGACUAUAAAUAAAUGGAUUCUACAUGUGA